GUGGGACUUGUCUGUCCUCAGGAGAUGCUAGCUGUAGGCAACUGUGAGAGGAGUGGAUGGCACUUCAGGAGGCUUCCUGCUGUUUCUCUCAGCUUUGCACGUCUACACACCUCCCCACUCACAUGAUACAGAAGUCAGAUGCCAGAGGUGGGAGGGAGGAUGGACGGAUUCCAGCUUUCCAGAAGCAGCAUGCUGUGCUGAGUGGAACGGUCCUAUGGAGGUGGUAGUGUGCAACUCGGCUCAGGCAGCCCUGAAUGGAGUGGAGGAAGAGGACAUCUAUCGGUCUGAGGCCAGCAAGAAGGGAAACGUGGUGGGGAGGACAGGAAUGAAGGAAGGAAGAAAACAGAAGGCCCUGUAAAGUAGCUUAGUUGUCACUUGUUAGCAAUGAAGCCUUUGACGUCAGUCUUAGACAUAAUGUCAGUGACUAGUUAUAUUUUUGACACUGACUCCCAUUUUGGCUCUGAAUCCUCUUAUCCGACUCAGUUCCGCCUUCCACCUUGACACCGCCUCUGAGCAACCACUAAGCACUGUUUGGCCCGAGGGUAAAGGUGAGGCCAGAAACCCUGAGAUAGCCCUGCCGAGGGGUGCGGUUGAGCCCCAGAAGAGAUAAUGGGGAAGUAAUUAAGCCUCAACAGGCUCUGAUUCACGGCUAUUGGGGGUGUGUGAACGUGUCAUGCCUGGCAACCAGAUUAGAAUGGGAAUGGGGGAGUGUGCGUGUUGGAGGUGGCGUAUGCCAGUGGUGGUGGUGAGUAGAAGGUUGUGUAUACCAGAGUGGUGGUGGUGAGUAGAAGGUUGUGUAUGCCAGUGGUGGUGGGGAGUGAGGUCACAAGGUGGCUGCUAUGCUACUAAUAUAUGACGGAGGGACAGCUAUUUCCGUGCUGCCUUCUCCCUCCCUCUGUAGAAAGGACAGACUCUCUCUAGCCACAAGCUCACUAUGCUCACCAUAUCUCAUGCAGACUCUCUAGCCACAAGCUCACUGCCCUGCCCAUGUCUGGAAUUUUUUUGUGGGUGUGAGUCGAAUCACUGAAGCUCAACAAGCAUCCUUGCAUAGGCAGUAAUGUUCUCUAUAGGAUCUGUGCAAGAUACAGAAUGUACAAAAUGUAUGCAUGCAUAAUGAAACAGUAUAGAUUUGUACCAGAUGACUGACUCUCAGGAAGACAGUGAACAAACAACAUUCAGAGUGAUAUUUUAAUGCCCACGGAAUUGAACGAAAUUGAACAUAAUAUAAAAGAUAAUAUCCAUGGCACUAUACAUUUGAAUGCAGAGUCUUUCACAGCACACAGACAAUGUACAAUUUUACA